UACGUAGGUGGCAAGCGUUGUCCGGAUUUACUGGGCGUAAAGAGCGCGCAGGCGGUCGUUCAAGUCGCGUGUGAAAGCCCCCGGCUCAACUGGGGAGGGUCACGCGAUACUGAUCGACUCGAAGGCAGGAGAGGGUAGUGGAAUUCCCGGUGUAGUGGUGAAAUGCGUAGAUAUCGGGAGGAACACCAGAGGCGAAGGCGACUACCUGGCCUGUUCUUGACGCUGAGGCGCGAAAGCUAGGGGAGCAAACGGG
rnacentral:rRNA from 1 species